rnacentral:sRNA from 1 species
AGUGGCUCAUUCACCUUCUUAUGUCAGCCCCUUCGGGAAGCGCUACAUAAACUUCGAAUGACGCACAACAAGGUGCCUGCCGUCCAACAUCUGAUAUUAGCAUGGCUCAUAUCAACCUCCGGGCGAAACGUCGAGUUAGGCACCGCCU